UUUCGCUUUGCCCCAUUCUCGGAAAGGCUCUAGACGGACCCGCCGAGAUGGUCGCGGGCUUUAAGGCGCUUUCAGUUAAAGGACCGGGAGAAGCUAAGUGCGCGCGGCCCGCGUAGAAGUGCACAGGGGAGGGAGUUCGAGCCGAGCCAGAGCGACAGUUGGAGGGGAACGGACAAACUGCAGAAAUGCCUUGCGAGGACAUGGUGAGAAGGCAGCCAGAUGUCUGCAAGCCAGGAAGAGUACUGACCAGAAAUCAAAUCCGCUGGAAACUUGAUUGUGGACUUCUAGCCUCUGGAACUGUGAGAAAAUGAAUUUCUUUUGUUUCAAACACCCACUCUAGUAUUUUUUAUGACAGCCAAAGCAGUCUAGUACUGCGGUGAAUUACAUCGCUUAAAAAAUUUGCAUUCUUUUG